GACGAACGCUGGCGGCGCGCCUAACACAUGCAAGUCGAACGAGCGAGAGAGAGCUUGCUUUCUCGAGCGAGUGGCGAACGGGUGAGUAACGCGUGAGGAACCUGCCUCAAAGAGGGGGACAACAGUUGGAAACGACUGCUAAUACCGCAUAAGCCCACGACCCGGCAUCGGGUAGAGGGAAAAGGAGCAAUCCGCUUUGAGAUGGCCUCGCGUCCGAUUAGCUAGUUGGUGAGGUAAAGGCCCACCAAGGCGACGAUCGGUAGCCGGACUGAGAGGGUGAUCGGCCACAUUGGGACUGAGACACGGCCCAAACUCCUACGGGAGGCAGCAGUGGGGAAUAUUGCACAAUGGGGGAAACCCUGAUGCAGCGACGCCGCGUGAAGGAGAAGUAUUUCGGUAUGUAAACUUCUAUCAGCAGGGAAGAAAAUGACGGUACCUGACUAAGAAGCCCCGGCUAACUACGUG
rnacentral:rRNA from 1 species